rnacentral:rRNA from 1 species
GAAAGUAAGAAAGGGCGUAUGGUGGAUGCCUAGGCUCACAGAGACGAUGAAGGACGUGAUAAGCUGCGAUAAGCUUCGGGUAGGUGCAAAUAGCCUUUGAUCCGGAGAUUUCCGAAUGGGACAACCCGUCUGUCUGAAGGACAGUCACUCACGCUUAUGUGUGAGGGUUAACCCGGGGAACUGAAACAUCUUAGUACCCGGAGGAAGAGAAAAUAAAUAAUGAUUCCCCUAGUAGUGGCGAGCGAACGGGGAACAGCCCAAACCGGUGAUGUGGCAACGCACCGCCGGGGUUGUAGGACCACGUGAUUGUACGGAAACAAUGAAUAGAAUGUUCUGGAAAGUUCAGCCAUAGCAGGUGAUAGCCCUGUAUAUGAAGUUGAAUCCGACAUAGUGGUAUCCUGAGUAACGCGGAGCACGAGGAAUUCUGCGCGAAUCUGCCGGGACCAUCCGGUAAGGCUAAAUACUCCUGUGAGACCGAUAGUGAACCAGUACCGUGAGGGAAAGGUGAAAAGAACUUCGAUAAGAAGAGUGAAAUAGUUCCUGAAACCAUGCGCCUACAAGCGGUCGGAGCUGAGCAAUCAGUGACGGCGUGCCUUUUGCAUAAUGAACCUACGAGUUACCAUCUCUGGCAAGGUUAAGGGGUUAAGCCCCGCAACCGCAGUGAAAGCGAGCCUGAACAGGGCGUAUAGUCAGAGGGGGUAGACGCGAAACCAAGUGAUCUACACUUGACCAGGAUGAAGUUCCGGUAACACGGAAUGGAGGUCCGCACCAAUAAGCGUUGAAAAGCUUCUGGAUGAGUUGAGUGUAGGAGUGAAAGGCCAAUCAAACUUGGAGAUAGCUCGUACUCCCCGAAAGGCAUUUAGGUGCCGCGUGUAUUGAUCCUCAUGAGAGGUAGAGCGACCGAUAGGUCAAGAGGGCUUCACCGCCUAUCGAGACCUGACGAACUCCGAAUGCUCAUGAGUCGCAGAUAUGCAGUAAGGGGGCGGGUGCUAAGGUCCGUCCCCGAGAGGAGAAGAAUCCAGACCGCCGUCUAAGGUCCCCAAAUUCUGUCUAAGUUAGUCUAACGAAGUCUGGUCCCAGUGACAGCUAGGAUGUUGGCUUGGAAGCAGCCAUUCAUUCAAAGAGUGCGUAACAGCUCACUAGUCGAGGGUCCGGGCAUGGAUAAUAAUCGGGUAUAAGGCAGGUACCGAAGGCGCGGGAUAGUAAUAAUAAAAGUAUCGGUAGGGGAGCAUUCCAUAUGCGUAGAAUGGUGCAGAUAACUGAUCCUGGAGCGUAUGGAAAAGCAAAUGUAGGUAUAAGUAACGAUUAGAGGGGUUAGAUCCCCCUCCGCCAUAAGUCUAAGGUUUCCCAGGCAAUGCCAAUCAGCCUGGGGUAAGUCGGGUCCUAAGUCUCAGCCGAAGGGCGAAGGCGAUGGCAGAAACGGUUAAUAUUCCGUUACUACCAUAGGGAGUGACGUGGAGACGGAGCAGUGACACAGCCGCGGGGUGACGGAAGUCCCCGUUUAAGGGUGUAGAUUAUGAGGAAGGCAGGCAAAUCCACCUUCUGAGUCGAACCUGAAAGUACGGCAUCCUCCUCGGAGGAAGCUGAUAGCGCUGGUAAGCAUACUCCCGAGAAAAUCCGCUAAACUUAAUCCCUGUGGUACCCGUACCGCAAUCCGACACAGGUAGACGGGUAGAACAUACUAAGGCGUUGAGAGAUUCAUGGUUAAGGAACUAGGCAAACUGACCCCGUAACUUCGGGAUAAGGGGUCCUCUCCUCCGGGAGAGGCGCAGAGAAUAGGUCCAGGCAACUGUUUAACAAAAACACAGGGCUGUGCUAACUCGAAAGAUGAAGUAUACAGUCUGACACCUGCCCGGUGCCGGAAGGUUAAGAGGAGAUGUCAUUCCUUUAAGGAUGCAGCAUUGAAUUGAAGCCCCGGUAAACGGCGGCCGUAACUAUAACGGUCCUAAGGUAGCGAAAUUCCUUGUCGGGUAAGUUCCGACCUGCACGAAUGGUGUAAUGAUCCGGACGCUGUCUCAACCAUGAGCUCAGUGAAAUUGUAGUAUCGGUGAAGAUGCCGAUUACCCGCGAUGGGACGAAAAGACCCCGUGAACCUUUACUACAGCUUAGCAUUGACCUUGGUCAUCCGAUGUGUAGGAUAGGCCGGAGGCUUUGAAGCGUGCGCGCCAGCGUGUGUGGAGCCAUCCUUGAAAUACGGCCCUUUGGCUGUCUGAGGUCUAACUCGCUAUUGCGAGGACAUUGUUUGGUGGGUAGUUUGACUGGGGUGGUCGCCUCCAAAAGCGUAACGGAGGCUUCCAAAGGUGCCCUCGGGUCGAUUGGUAACCGACCUUAUAGAGUGCAAUGGCAUAAGGGCGCUUGACUGGGAGGCAGACAUGCCGAGCAGGCAGGAAACUGGGGCAUAGUGAUCCGGCGGAUGUGUAUGGAAACUCCGUCGCUCAAAGGAUAAAAGGUACUCCGGGGAUAACAGGCUGAUCUCCCCCAAGAGCUCAUAUCGACGGGGGGGUUUGGCACCUCGAUGUCGGCUCGUCACAUCCUGGGGCUGGAG